AUUUGGCCGCGAUGUGCGUACAGUACGCCGCGUUGCGCAGUGCAUUCCUCGUAAUCAGUUCGGAAGUACCUCCCUGUUGUUUCGGCAGUUACUCCCCAAAUUCGCUUUCAGGAACGAGCUGCAAAACAUCGCAAUUCAACCAAACAGAGGUAUUUUCGUGAUUACAGGUACAGUGAAGUGGUUUAACGACGCCAAGGGUUUUGGCUUUAUCACCCCGGCAGACGGCAGCAAGGACGUGUUCGUGCAUCACUCCGCCAUUCAGGGCGGUGGCUUCAAGAGCCUGGCCGAAGGCCAGAAGGUGCAGUUCGACGUGGAGCAGGGCCCCAAGGGUCCGUCAGCGGCGAACGUCCAGUCCGCCUAAGCAUCAGGCUCUGCGAGAGCAGGUUUGAUCUGAAGACCUCGCCAAGGUGGCGGGGUCUU
rnacentral:sRNA from 1 species